rnacentral:rRNA from 1 species
GAGGCAGCAGUGGGGAAUAUUGGACAAUGGGCGCAAGCCUGAUCCAGCAAUUCCGCGUGAGUGAAGAAGGUCUUCGGAUUGUAAAGCCCUUUCGUUGGGGACGAUGAUGACGGUACCCAAAGAAGAAGCCCCGGCUAACUUCGUGCCAGCAGCCGCGGUAAU